rnacentral:rRNA from 1 species
UACGUAGGGUGCGAGCGUUGUCCGGAAUUAUUGGGCGUAAAGAGCUUGUAGGCGGUUUGUCGCGUCUGCCGUGAAAGCCCGUGGCUUAACUACGGGUCUGCGGUGGAUACGGGCAGGCUAGAGGCUGGUAGGGGCAAGCGGAAUUCCUGGUGUAGCGGUGAAAUGCGCAGAUAUCAGGAGGAACACCGGUGGCGAAGGCGGCUUGCUGGGCCAGUUCUGACGCUGGAGGAGCGAAAGCGUGGGGAGCGAACAGG